AGCGAACGCUGGCGGCAGGCUUAACACAUGCAAGUCGAGCGGGCGUAGCAAUACGUCAGCGGCAGACGGGUGAGUAACGCGUGGGAACAUACCUUUUGGUUCGGAACAACACAGGGAAACUUGUGCUAACACCGAAUAAGCCCUUACGGGGAGAGAUUUAUCGCCGAAAGAUUGGCCCGCGUCUGAUUAGCUUGUUGGUGAGGUAACGGCUCACCAAGACGACGAUCAGUAGCUGGCCUGAGAGGAUGAUCAGCCACAUUGGGACUGAGACACGGCCCAAACUCCUACGGGAGGCAGCAGUGGGGAAUAUUGGACAAUGGGCGCAAGCCUGAUCCAGCCAUGCCGCGUGAGUGAUGAAGGCCCUAGGGUUGUAAAGCUCUUUUGUGCGGGAAGAUAAUGACGGUACCGCAAGAAUAAGCCCCGGC
rnacentral:rRNA from 1 species